rnacentral:sRNA from 1 species
UUUCUGCGUGAGGGAUUGAGGCGGUAUCCUUUAUUAUCAGCGGCGGCUUCGCCGUCGCCGAUAAUAAAGAUAUAGCGGAAAGCCCGGCCGGAA